AAACUGAAGAGUUUGAUCCUGGCUCAGAUUGAACGCUGGCGGCAUGCCUUACACAUGCAAGUCGAACGGCAGCACGGAGCUUGCUCUGGUGGCGA
rnacentral:rRNA from 1 species